AUUGAACGCUGGCGGCAGGCCUAACACAUGCAAGUCGAACGAGUGGCGGACGGGUGAGUAAUGUCUGGGAAACGGCCCGAUGGAGGGGGGUAACUACCGGAAACGGUAGCUAAUACCGCAUACCAUCGGAUGUGCCCAGGUGGGAUUAGCUAGUAGGUGGGGUAACGGCACACCAAGGCGACGAUCCCUAGCUGGUCUGAGAGGAUGACCAGCCACACUGGAACUGAGACACGGUCCAGACUCCUACGGGAGGCAGCAGUGGGGAAUAUUGCACAAGGGGCGAAAGCCUGAUGCAGCCAUGCCGCGUGUAUGAAGAAGGCCUUCGGGUUGUAAAGUACUUUCAGCGGGGAGGCGUUACUCGCAGAAGAAGCACCGGCUAACUCCGUGCCAGCAGCCGCGGUAAUAC
rnacentral:rRNA from 1 species